AUAAUAAUAAUACUGGCGAAUUAAUAGCAGGAAGGAGUUUGCAGGAAGGCCUAGGGAGAUGCCGCGCAGAUACUGGCGCUGCGUUUAACAUCUGGAAGAGGAGGUGGACUCGCUUUCUCUGUGGUUGUAUUUAAAGCAGGGACCUCAGGGAAAUGUCCGGUCUGUGAACGCGAAGGGGAGAAGGGUUUGGCGGGUUGAAAUGAGCUCGCCCCUUUAGAAAGACCCCAAAGAGGCGCUGAGAACUUGGGUGCCAAUUCAAAGGGAAUGAAUUUAAAAUCCUAUUACUUCCGCCCAUCACCCUAGGGGUCAACGUUAGGAGAUGAUCUAGGCAAGGAAGUGAGGAAGAGCCUCGCUUCUUCUGGCAAGAGGGAGAAGUUUUGCAAUGUGUCGGAAGUGGAGUUUGAGAGUUUCAUAGCUUUCUUGGUUGGAGAAAGGCGGGGGAGAUGGGGGAAGAAAAAGUUGGGUGCGAAUUGCAAGAUUUAUGCGGCUGUAAAUUCCAGAGGAAAAAAGGAGAAAGGAAAGGAAGAAAGCGACUGGACAAGGGAGGGAUCUUGCUCCUACUGAAGGCGAAUGCAGUUGGGGUUGGAGAGAGAGAGGCAGGAUUGGUAGCCCGAAGCGCUUUUUUGGGUGGAGCUUUUUUUUUCUUGGUGCAAAAUGAGGUGGUCUGCAAAUCUGGCCUCAAGGUAUGAGCAAGGCAAUGGUGGCCUUGAAACUGGUGAGUCUUAAGACUAGCCACCUGUCGGGAUUUGGGGUACGGUGCUCUCCUCUCUCCAUCUCCCCCCCUCUCUCCACUCCAAAAAGCUUGGGGCUGAGGGGAGGAAGAAAUGGAUGCGGGGAAGAAGAGGGGGUGCAAAGAACCGAGAUGGGCGCAAGAGAAAAGGGAGGACAGAGCCACCUCCCCCAAAAGCUUCGAAGUUCCUUGACUUACAGGCUGGCGAGUCAAGUCAAUUGGCCAGGAAAGAUCGCACAUUUCGCGAGAUGAAACUCAACCCAAGAGUCCUGUGACACCUGCAAGGCUAACACAUUACUGUGGUGUCAGUCACCACCAGCUUUUCCUGUAAGGGAGCUGAGGCUCCAGUCCAGGAAAAUGUCCGGACAGUUGACCAAUGUAUAAUAAUAAUAAUAAUGAUAAUGAUGAUAUAAUGAUAGCCACAGACUAACAUAGCUACCACUGUUGAAUGUACCACGUUUUUCACUUCGAGGUUUAAAGGGCUUAUUUUUUCGUAUGUGCGUGAGGGUCUCCUUUCUCUCCGUCCAACACCCCCUUAUUUCCCACCUCCCAGUUUUUAAUCAGUAACUUCGAAAGGAGUUCUCUCUCUCCUUGUUUGGCGGGACAAUCUUAUCUCUGGCAACCCUGUGGCCAUCUUUUGUUUUGUUAAAGCUGCCCUCUUUUCAAUUCACCCUCUCCACCCUUUUCAACCCCUCCAACCAACCCCACCAACCCGGGGCCCCCCUCCUCCAGGAAUCUGUUUCUUGCUGCUGGGAAUCGCUAGAUGGAAACGUCACCUUCUUUUAAGACACCCCAGGAGUUCAGCAGGCUGCCGCUUCCAUCGCCCUCUUGAUUCGAUUCCGGUGCUGUUUGUAUUUCCAAGAGGACUCCAUCCGGCUGAACGCCAAAGAAUUUGGUUUAACGGGGAUGCUGACUGACCCCACCGUGUGAGGCUUGUGUACGCGAGUAAAAAAAAUUAAAUAAAAAAAUCCAAUGAGACUGAAAGCUUUUAACGUCCUUUAAGGAGAGAUCCCGAAUUUUCCUUUCAAACCAGCAGUCCUCUCGUGAUUCCAACUCAGGGACACCCUUCCCUCAAAUAAGAAAGGGAAAGUUUCCCACUUGUUGGAAACGAUAAAUCUACAGGCAGCGACUGUUCUGAGCUAUAGGAAAGCCUGCUUCGAUCUGAGGUCUUUGGAAACUUUAAGAAUAGCAUGAAAAAUUUACUAGGUUUCAGCUCUUUUCGGUGGAAGGUGCCCGAAAAACUAUAUUUUUGGAAAUAUCUUUCUAAGCCAGUAUGGGAACAAAGGAAAUUUGUAUAUAUAUAUUUUUUAACUCUCAGGUGUUUGCUUGAAGAGUUUUCCUGACAUCCAACAAAUUUCUUCACGGCUUCGCGCUCCGCGCAAACACCUGCCCAAGAUCCCGAAAGCACUUCCCUCAACUCCUCGGUAGUAACUUUUGUUGAAAGCAGUAAACUUCCAAUUAAUCGAGCAAAUCAAAGCCUUGUAAACCGGCUCGUGAGCUUUCCUUGCAGCUCGAUCCGGAAAGCACUCGAGCGGAAUUCAGUUCAAAUCGGCUCAGAGAUCCAUCUAAAUCCAACGCACAAUGAAAACCUACUCGGCAAUUCCGGCUGGAUUUGGACCUCAGCGUGGUCGGCGAUAUGGAAAAGAGAGGAAAACUUCUUAUUUUUGACGUGGUGACUUAGCAGAGUCAAAUUCUUCGUUUUCCAUUAGCUGACUUAAAUAUAUAUAUAUAACUGUGUAAGAUCCUACAGCUCAGAGUAGGAGAAAUCCACGCUAUACUCAUACUGAAAGAGGUUUGUAAAAGAUCGGUUUGUAGUGGACUUCAUGAGGUAUAUAUUAAAUCUGCCAGCCUGCGUUGAGGAGGGUGUAAUAUGAAUAAUAAGAAAUAUAAUUCAUGCAUGCUUUAUGUUUACACAUAGAUUAAAAUGUGUAUAUCUA